GACAGAGGGUGCGAGCGUUGUUCGGAAUUACUGGGCGUAAAGGGCGCGUAGGCGGUCUGUUAAGUUCGGUGUGAAAGCCCUCGGCUCACCCGAGGAAGUGCGCCGGAUACUGACAGACUUGAGUACCGGAGAGGAGGGUGGAAUUCCUGGUGUAGCGGUGAAAUGCGUAGAUAUCAGGAGGAACACCGGUGGCGAAGGCGGUCUGCUGGGCCGUUGCUGACGCUGAGGCGCGACAGCGUGGGGAGCAAACAGG
rnacentral:rRNA from 1 species